CCUACGGGAGGCAGCAGUGGGGAAUAUUGCACAAUGGGCGCAAGCCUGAUGCAGCGACGCCGCGUGCGGGAUGACGGCCUUCGGGUUGUAAACCGCUUUUGACUGGGAGCAAGCCCUUCGGGGUGAGUGUACCUUUCGAAUAAGCACCGGCUAACUACGUGCCAGCAGCCGCGGUAAUACGUAGGGUGCAAGCGUUAUCCGGAAUUAUUGGGCGUAAAGGGCUCGUAGGCGGUUCGUCGCGUCCGGUGUGAAAGUCCAUCGCUUAACGGUGGAUUCGCGCCGGGUACGGGCGGGCUUGAGUGCGGUAGGGGAGACUGGAAUUCCCGGUGUAACGGUGGAAUGUGUAGAUAUCGGGAAGAACACCAAUGGCGAAGGCAGGUCUCUGGGCCGUCACUGACGCUGAGGAGCGAAAGCGUGGGGAGCGAACAGGAUUAGAUACCCUGGUAGUCCACGCCGUAAACGGUGGAUGCUGGAUGUGGGGACCAUUCCACGGUCUCCGUGUCGGAGCCAACGCGUUAAGCAUCCCGCCUGGGGAGUACGGCCGCAAGGCUAAAACUCAAAGAAAUUGACGGGGGCCCGCACAAGCGGCGGAGCAUGCGGAUUAAUUCGAUGCAACGCGAAGAACCUUACCUGGGCUUGACAUGUUCCCGACAGCCCCAGAGAUGGGGCCUCCCUUCGGGGCGGGUUCACAGGUGGUGCAUGGUCGUCGUCAGCUCGUGUCGUGAGAUGUUGGGUUAAGUCCCGCAACGAGCGCAACCCUCGCCCUGUGUUGCCAGCACGUCGUGGUGGGAACUCACGGGGGACCGCCGGGGUCAACUCGGAGGAAGGUGGGGAUGACGUCAGAUCAUCAUGCCCCUUACGUCCAGGGCUUCACGCAUGCUACAAUGGCCGGUACAACGGGAUGCGACCUCGUGAGGGGGAGCGGAUCCCUUAAAACCGGUCUCAGUUCGGAUUGGAGUCUGCAACCCGACUCCAUGAAGGCGGAGUCGCUAGUAAUCGCGGAUCAGCAACGCCGCGGUGAAUGCGUUCCCGGGCCUUGUACACACCGCCCGUCAAGUCAUGAAAGUGGGUAGCACCCGAAGCCGGUGGCCCAACCUUUUGGGGGGAGCCGUCUAAGGUGAGACUCGUGAUUGGGACUAAGUCGUAACAAGGUAGCCGUACCGGAAGGUGCGGCUG
rnacentral:rRNA from 1 species